UACAGAGGUCUCAAGCGUUGUUCGGAUUCAUUGGGCGUAAAGGGUGCGUAGGCGGCGCGGCAAGUCGGGUGUGAAAUCUCGGAGCUUAACUCCGAAACUGCAUUCGAUACUGCCGUGCUUGAGGACUGGAGAGGAGACUGGAAUUUACGGUGUAGCGGUGAAAUGCGUAGAUAUCGUAAGGAAGACCAGUGGCGAAGGCGGGGCUCUGGACAGUUCCUGACGCUGAGGCACGAAGGUCAGGGGAGCAAACGGG
rnacentral:rRNA from 1 species